AAAAAAUCGGAUUUCCUGAAAUCAUGGGGAAGCGGGGCACUCUGAAUCCUCCGUGGCUUUCAGGAACUUAAUCGUGAUGUGCGGGGCUCGGAGUUUUUGGAUGAGUGAAGAAAAGCCAGUGGAGCCAGUGGUCCACUGAAGUGUCCACUGAAGCUGUGGACAAAGAGUGAUACCAGUUUGACAGAGGAUCCUCCAAAAGACUGGUCCUGCUCUUGUCCCUCUCUUGUCCCUCUCAUGCUUGUCCCUCUCAUGCAGCUCAGGAAGCGCAUCCAGCCCUGCUGUGAGGUGGGACCCCUGGCCACCCCUCGCUCUGCCAGCAAUAGGCUAGAGCCAGGGUAGCUCUUAGGGUGUCAAGCCCCAUGUGCCCAAGGAUUUUGCUGCUCCAUUUGAAACCCAGGGGCCUGCAAACACCACGAGCCAAGGCAUGCUUUCAGCAUCCUCAGGAGAGCUCUCCACCUCCGCCAAGCUCAAAGUCCUCUUGAACGGGCGUCACUGGUCACUCCUCACGCUGGUGGAAAGGUGACGGGGACGCUUCUCCAUCUCACCUCACCUAGAUCCUCUCUGUCACCUGCUGUAUUUUUAAAAACACUGGAGAGACCUUGGAUUCCUCUGUGAAAGUCUCCAAGGCCCAGGUCAGAUAUCGCUUAGCUAAAUACCCUGGUCACAGGCAGCUCUAACAGAGCAGCCUGCAGAUAAGGAGAUUGAUCCUCAGAGUAAUCAAUAAAUAUCUUGUUCUGGGCAGUUAAUAACUUUGCCAAACUUGCUUUGCUUGGAUAAAAAAAGUGCCCACAUUGCUGACCAAGAGAGUGAACUUUGGGGAAAAACUAUCAUGUUGAUGAAA